UACGGAGGGAGCUAGCGUUGUUCGGAAUUACUGGGCGUAAAGCGCGCGUAGGCGGCUUUGUAAGUUAGAGGUGAAAGCCCGGAGCUCAACUCCGGAACUGCCUUUAAAACUGCAUCGCUUGAAUCCAGGAGAGGUGAGUGGAAUUCCGAGUGUAGAGGUGAAAUUCGUAGAUAUUCGGAAGAACACCAGUGGCGAAGGCGGCUCACUGGACGGUUUCUGACGCUGAGGCACGAAAGCGUGGGGAGCAAACAGG
rnacentral:rRNA from 1 species